rnacentral:rRNA from 1 species
CACGUAGGGCGCAAGCGUUGUCCGGAAUUAUUGGGCGUAAAGAGCUCGUAGGCGGCCUGUUGCGUCCGCCUGUGAAAACUCGGGGCUUAAACCCCGGAGCCCUGCAGUGGAUGACGGGGCAGACUAGAGGUAGGUAGGGGAGAAUGGAAUUCCUGGUGUAGCGGUGAAAUGCGCAGAUAUCAGGAAGAACACCCGUGGCGAAGGCGGCUCUCUGGGACGGUACUGACGCUGAGACGCGAAAGCGUGGGGAGCGAACAGG